UGCUGGUGAUUCUGGUAUGGAGCCCAGAUG
rnacentral:piRNA from 1 species